GACGGAGGGGGCUAGCGUUGUUCGGAAUGACUGGGCGUAAAGGGCGCGUAGGCGGUUUUUUAAGUGAGGCGUGAAAGCCCUGGGCUUAACCCAGGAGGUGCGUUUCAGACUGGAAGGCUUGAGUGCGAGAGAGGAAAAUGGAAUUCCUAGUGUAGAGGUGAAAUUCGUAGAUAUUAGGAAGAACACCCGUGGCGAAGGCGGUUUUCUGGCUCGCAACUGACGCUGAGGCGCGAAAGCGUGGGGAGCAAACAGG
rnacentral:rRNA from 1 species